GACGAACGCUGGCGGCGUGCUUAACACAUGCAAGUCGAACGGAAAGGCCCUGCUUUUGUGGGGUGCUCGAGUGGCGAACGGGUGAGUAACACGUGAGUAACCUGCCCUUGACUUUGGGAUAACUUCAGGAAACUGGGGCUAAUACCGGAUAGGAGCUCCUGCUGCAUGGUGGGGGUUGGAAAGUUUCGGCGGUUGGGGAUGGACUCGCGGCUUAUCAGCUUGUUGGUGGGGUAGUGGCUUACCAAGGCUUUGACGGGUAGCCGGCCGGAGAGGGUGACCGGCCACAUUGGGACUGAGAGACGGCCCAGACUGCUACGGGAGGCAGCAGUGGGGAAUAUUGCACAAUGGGCGGAAGACUGAUGCAGGAACGCCGCGUGCGGGAUGACGGCCUUCGGGUGGUAAACCGCUUUCGCCUGUGACGAAGCGUGAGUGACGGUAAUGGGUAAAGAAGCACCGGCUAACUACGUG
rnacentral:rRNA from 1 species